GUAUUUUUCGGUUAGUUGUCUUGACAUCGGACCAGCUUAUUUUCUCCUCUAAACGACACUUUGGUUCCUGGGGCAGGGAGGCGAGUCUGAAAGAAGAAAAAUAGCCCUCAGCCUCAGCAGCAUCAGCCUCCUCCUCAACACACACAGGAGCAGCUAGACCCUAUUGGGGAGCAGCCUCCGUUCAUGCUGCUGGACCAGCAGGAAAUGGAGCAAGAGUCAGGAACAAACCUGAAAAACCUCUUCCGGGGCAGUGGACGUAGCCCUGGAAUAAGGAACCUGAAAUUCCCUCCUUCAAUUGAAGACCUCCAGGACUACCAGCGGUACCAUGAGGGCAGCUGCCCCCCUUCCAAGCAGCUGGAAAAUGCACAGUCCAAAGUGUCGAGGGUCAGGUCUUUUAUAUUUUACCUGGCUAAGGGACAGACUGUAUUGUUCAGUUUGCUAUUUUAAGGAACAUUGAUGGCAUCCAAAAAUACACAGCCCACCUCCAGUCCCCAGGCAAGACCAUCACA